rnacentral:lncRNA from 1 species
CUCACACACAGUCUCCUGAGUUUGCCGCACAUCGUUACACGAGCACAACCCGGCCCUCCCUCCAGCGACAGAGAGGAGCGAAGCGCUGCCAGCUCUGGCAUGGAUACGGAGCCAGGCUCACACAGGGGAAUGGACCCAGGGCCAGAAAAACUUGGCAAGGAAUGGCUAAGAGUACCACCUGUGUGGAACGCUUCUGGAACAUUCUACUGCUCAAAGACAAGAGGAGGAUCAGCUGUGGAGAGGGAGAGAGGAGACAAGAGGAGGAUCAGCUGUGGAGAGAGAGAGGAGACAAGAGGAGGAUCAGCUGUGGAGAGAGAUGAGACAAGAGGAGGAUCAGCUGUGGAGAGAGAGGAGACAAGAGGAGGAUCAGCUGUGGAGAGAGAGGAGACAAGAGGAGGAUCAGCUGUGGAGAGAGAGAGGAGACAAGAGGAGGAUCAGCUGUGGAGAGAGGAGACAAGAGGAGGAUCAGAUGUGGAGAGAGAGGAGACAAGAGGAGGAUCAGCUGUGGAGAGAGAGAGGGGACAACUCCUUUGGGUUGUGCCGUGGGGGAGAUCUUCGUGGGCUAUAAUCGGCCUUGUCUCAGGAUGAGGACCUGAGCCCUAGGACCAUGCCUCAGGACUACCUGGCCUGAUGAUUCCUUGCUGUCCCCAGUCCACCUGGCCGUGCUGCUGCUCCAGUUUCAACUGUUCUGCCUGCGGCUAUGGAACCCUGACCUGUUCACCGGACGUGUUAUCUGUCCCAGACCUGCUGUUUUCAACUCUCUAGAGACAGCAGGAGCGGUAGAGAUACUCUGAACGACUGGCUAUAAAAUGCCAACUGACAUUUACUCCUGAGGUGCUGACCUGUUGCACCCUCUACAACCACUGUGAUUAUUAUUAUUUGACCCUGCUGGUCAUCCAUGAACAUUUGAACAUCUUGGCCAUGUUCUGUUAUAAUCUCCACCCGGCACAGCCAGAAGAGGACUGGCCACCCCAUAGCCUGGUUCCUCUCGAGGUUUCUUCCUAGGUUCUGGCCUUUCUAGGGUGUUUUUCCUAGCCACUGUGCUUCUACACCUGCAUUGCUUGCUGUUUGGGGUUUUAGGCUGGGUUUCUGUACAGCACUUUGUGACAUCAGCUGAUGUAAGAAGGGAUUUAUAAAUACAUUUGAUUGAUUGAUUGACAAUAGGAGGAUCAGCUGUGGAAAGAGAGAGGAGACAAGGAGGAAAAGCUGUAGAGAGAGAGUAGACAAGAGGAGGAUCAGCUGUGGAGAGAGAGGAGACAAGAGGAGGAUCAGCUGUGGAGAGAGAGAGGAGACAAGAGGAGGAUCAGCUGUGGAGAGAGAGUAGACAAGAGGAGGUUCAGCUGUGGAGAGAGAGGAGACAAGCGGAGGAUCAGCUUUGGAGAGAGAGGAGACAAGAGGAGGAUCAGCUGUGGAGAGAGAGAGGAGACAAGAGGAGGAUCAGCUGUGGAGAGAGAGAGGAGACAAGAGGAGGAUCAGCUGUGGAGAGAGAGAGGAGACAAGAGGAGGAUCAGCUGUGGAGAGAGAGAUGAGACAAGAGAAGGUUCAGCUGUGAAGAGAGAUGAGACAAGAGGAGGAUCAGCUGUGGAGAGAGAGGAGAUCCUUCCCUGCUCCAAUAGACUAUUACAGCCUUAAUUUGGACUCUCACAUUGGGAUUUUAAUAGAUCAAAACAAGACAAUAUUUUAACUCCUCAGGUUAGUUGUUAUGUAAACUUGUUUUGGUGAAGAAGAGGAUUGACCUUGCAGAUUCUGUUGUUGCCACAGUGUUCUAUUUGAAAUACACUCAGCUUUGAACUUGUUAUUUUGUCUGUCGCAGUCAGGAAGUAAAUUACAAUGGGAGAGAGAAGGAUUCACAAUGGAAGGUAAAAGGCUUACUUCAGAGUAAUAGGGAUGGAGAAAUUACAUUUAACACCAGUGUAGAGACAGAGAAGUUAUUACCCUAGCGGUUAUUGGAUUUGCUGUGAGUGGACCUCUCAGUUUUGAAAAAGGUUCCCCUUCAUAAUAGAACUGCAAACAUAUCAUUGAAGUACAGUAAGCUCGUACUAUCCCUAUGAUCAGCUGGCUCCAGUUCAUUACAUAGAUACUAUCUAGAAUUACACAGUGACUUUCCUCCCACUCCUCCAUGGAGCUCUUCUGAGCUUAACUUAUUUACCAGUCUCUCCUUUUGAUUGCAAUCUAUUAAGAAUUACCUGCCUCCCAGCUCAGUCAGAACAAUUACAUUGCUCUGCAGUCUGUAUUGGAAAUCGAUAGCUGCCUGGGUUCAAUCAAGCCCAGUUGAUAGUCCUCUUUAACCCAGAGACGCCAGAGGAGAUGUCUAUUGAAGGUGACGCCGAUUGUCACUCGGACUCAAUCCGGCCCCCUGUCGUGAGACGGAGAGGGAACGAUCUGCCCGGCAGAAUGAUUCCUCCACCUGAGUCGCUCCUCAGAUCGAUGGGAAUGGUGUUGUGAUUCUCCCGACUCCUCCCUAAUUGCUACAGCAGGUGAAUGAGGGAGACAUUGAUUCUGCAUGUCUGCCUGGUGUGUUAAGACAUCAACAACCCUGCUGUGGCUACUCCAUUACCAAGGCGUUUGAACACACAAUAACUAAUGUUAGCUCAUCAUGACUGAGAACUGCAUGAUAUUGUAAGGUCAGACAAGGCAAGACUAGUUAUCCAUACAGUAGAACAAUGAACUUAGUAUAUUUUGUGUUGUAAUCUACUCCUCUGGGAUAGCACAUGAUAGAGUCCUGCGUCCCAAAUGGUAUCCUAUUCCCUGUAUAUUUCACUAUAGUUCACCACUUUUGACUAGAGACCUGUAGGCCCUGGUUGAAAUGAAUGCAAUACAUAGGGAAUAGGUUGCCAUUUGGGACGCAGACAUUGAAGUUCCUUGAUUGACACAAGUUGUACUUGAGAAAAGUCAUUGUAUGGCAACAUGCAGCUGGACUCCAGAUCCUAAACAAACUGGACAGCAGUAUAGUCCCCUGAAUUAAAAACAGAUAUAUUUAUAGACUGGUAAAUCAAUCCAACUCAACAUCACAGUGAAGUAGAACAGCUAACAUGACAGCACUCAGCAUGAGAGGAGAAGGAGAAGGAGAAGGAGAAGGAGAAGGAGAAGGAGAAGGAGAGCAGUAACUUAGGUAUCUAAACCAAGGGGGCCUUCCAGCUAAAUGUUCACAGAGGAUAUUCAAAUGCCUCUCCACAGCUUUCUAGUUUCAGGAUCAGAUUGGGUUUCUUUCUCACCGCGAGGGAAGGGGAUUAAGCUGUCAGCACCACAACAACAAGCAAUUGCUAACAGCCUUUCAAAAGUGAAUUCUGGCACUGAUGACAACUCUCUGUGCCGUAGCAGUCAUUGGUGGUGACAGUUCACACAAAGAGGCGCGCAUGCACCACACCUGAAGUCAAGCGUGAGGGUCUCACCUGUAAACACAAUGCAAUCCGUCUUCACACAGACCUCUGGGAAUACUUGGCAUUUAAAAAGUGGCUGUGUAUAUCAGGACAGGUUAAUGUGCCCGCUUUUCUUUCUUAAAUGCUACAUGUUAUUAUGGAGCCUGUCUGGAUGCUAUUAAAACGCAGCAGUGGCAGAGGAGCAGUAAUAAACUACCUCAUGAAUGUGGC